rnacentral:rRNA from 1 species
UUGACCUCGAAUCAGGUAGGGUUACCCGCUGAACUUAAGCAUAUCAAUA